CACAAUGUCAUGGGUGACUCGAGGCCACUGGGCCUGCUUCCCUUAGCUGCCAUCCUGACUCAGGACACAAGGGCCACGCCCAGCCCAAGAAUCCACCCACAAGGGCCUGUUAAUCAUGCUUCCUGGCAGCAAGGAUAUCUCCUCCUUCUGCGGGCUCUGGAGCCCAACAGAGUGGGUUCAGAUAUUGGUCCUUCACCUUCCUGCUGUGUGACCCCAAGAUUUCUUAAUGUACCUUGGUGUUCUCAGCUGUACAACGGGACAAUGAUGACACCUGGAUCCUGUGGUUGCUGGGAGGAGCGUCCAGAAGCAGAAGGAAAGGCCAGCGAGCUCUGCAGCACAUCAGACCAAAGGCCAGAUCUGGGAGGAUCUUGUAGCUGCCAAGCUUCAGGCAUCUUUCCCUUCUCUCUGUUCUGUGGAGGCCAUUCCCUCACCCCACCCACCCCAUGCUCUGGACUGUCCAUCACCGUCAUUAUUAUCCCUUGGCCUCUGCACUGCUAGAGGUUGAGAAUGACGCCCCUUCCUUCCUUCCCUGAAGGGGCUGGCCUUUGCAGCCACCCAGUCCGAAGCCUGCGUUUGCACAUCUCCAUCUGAACAAAGAUAAAAAGGGAAAUCUUGGAGGAAGAUAACCGGCCACACAAUGCAGGCCCUUCCAGGAGCCAGCAGUUCAAAGAGCGCGGCCUGAUUCCAGCGUUUCCUGAGCUCCUCAUCUUCCUCCCUUUGUCUUUCAAGUCCCAAUGUUGCAGAUUCAGAGAUCUGUGGGGACAGAUUCUCACUUUCUUCCGAGGUGAGAUCAAAGGGUCUGGGAGAGGCCUGUGAGGCGGCUUCUGACAAAGCAAACUUCCCACAUCUGUCUGGCCGGGCCAGCAGAAGGCUAUCGGGGCCGCAGAGGCGGCCAGGACUUCCUACCGGGGGCGAUUCUCAGGUCCUGCCUAGAUGUCACAGUUGAGCGAAAGAGACCUGGUGGCCCGGAGGUCUGGAUGCCGCAGAUAAGGUGACAGAAGAGGCAGGGCCUUGCAUGUCUUCACACUUGGCCAACGACACCACGGCCACCUUGAGUUCACUGCGUUUACAGAAGGAAAGAGCUGCGAGUCUCACCAGGUACCGUACCAACGGUGGAGGCUUCCAUUUCAUUGAAACUUAUAAACUUUGUAUUCCGGCAAUGUGUGCGAACCCUACCCUCUCUGGGAGAGUUCUCACAGGGGAACCCAGCCGUGUCCUCGGCGCUGGCCCCCAUUCAGAGCAUCUCCAGCCUCUUGGAAGCUGCUUUUGGGCUCCCUACAAAAUAUUCACAGGCUUACGACUUUAGGGUUGUGGACAAUAAUAACCCACUGCACCUUGUCAUUUCAGGGUGUUGCGUUCAUUAGCGGCCUUGGGAAGGAGUGUGUCUGUGUGUGUG
rnacentral:lncRNA from 1 species